GCGUAGCACAGUGGUUAGUGACCCUGACUACUGAGCCGAUGGUCCCGGGUUCGAUUCCCGGCUGGGGCA
rnacentral:tRNA from 1 species